rnacentral:rRNA from 1 species
UACGUAGGGUGCGAGCGUUAAUCGGAGUUACUGGGCGUAAAGGGCGCGUAGGCGGUUAUGUAAGUGAGAUGUGAAAGCCCUGGGCUUAACCUAGGAACUGCAUCUUAUACUGCAUAACUGGAGUACUGUAGAGGGUAGUGGAAUUUCCGGUGUAGCGGUGAAAUGCGUAGAGAUCGGAAGGAACACCAGUGGCGAAGGCGGCUACCUGGACAGAUACUGACGCUGAGGCGCGAGAGCGUGGGGAGCAAACAGG